AGCGAACGCUGGCGGCAGGCUUAACACAUGCAAGUCGAACGCAUCACUUCGGUGGUGAGUGGCAGACGGGUGAGUAACACGUGGGAACGUACCCUUCGAUCUGGGAUAACUUCGGGAAACUGGAGCUAAUACCGGAUACGCCCUUUUGGGGAAAGGUUUACUGUCGAAGGAUCGGCCCGCGUCUGAUUAGCUAGUUGGUGGGGUAACGGCCUACCAAGGCGACGAUCAGUAGCUGGUCUGAGAGGAUGAUCAGCCACACUGGGACUGAGACACGGCCCAGACUCCUACGGGAGGCAGCAGUGGGGAAUAUUGGACAAUGGGCGCAAGCCUGAUCCAGCCAUGCCGCGUGAGUGAUGAAGGCCUUAGGGUUGUAAAGCCCUUUUGUCCGGGACGAUAAUGACGGUACCGGAAGAAUAAGCCCCGGCUAACUUCGUG
rnacentral:rRNA from 1 species